GUAGUUUUGUUCAUGUCAGGGAUGAGACAAAAUUAUUGUCUAAGGCAAUCGACAAAUGGACACACAUGCUGUCCACAGGCAUUAAGUUAAAAAUAACCAAAAAUAUUCUUUAAACUAAAUUACAAUAAUCAGGAGAAAUAUCAAAACCAUCAAGUCUUAAAUAAAAGCCCUUAAAGUAGCAGAGAGUGAUUACAUUAAAUUCUAAUUAUGCACUAAAAGAAAAAUCACAAAUUUCAACAGACUUUUACAGUAAGUGUGUACAGUAUUUGAGUGUGAGACGAGAUGGACUGCAGCUGUAGGUGAGGCCACAGUGGGAGGAUGAGGAGGAUGAUCCAGGGACGCAGCUCAGGCCCCAGGUACACAGCCUUUGCGUUCCCCUCAGCAGCUUAAAUGUGUUUAAUCUGGUUCCUAAACUGCCCGGUCGGGCUGAUCAGAUUGGCGCCAGACGCCUCGCUGCAGAUCCAGCCCGACCCCCCAGAGUCCUGCACAGAAACCCAGCAGCCCACCACCUGAGAGACGCACAAUUUGGACUCUUUUAGCGAAUCAGCCGGUUUAGGCUGUCUCUGCCCAUGUUUCUUCAUCUCUCCAUUGUUGUUAUGUCUCUGAACACUGACCUGGUUUUCACUCUGUCCUCCUUUUCCGAGUGACGACAAUUCGUCCGAGACCUCUGCACUACUUUUCACCCUCCAUUCGUCCAGUGUUUUUCUCCUCGGCGUGGCCCUUGGGACGACCGGUUUGAGAAGACCAGCGUCUGAAGUCACAUGCUGGAUUGAGCAAAAGCUUGUUUGGGUCAAAUCUAAAGUGUCUGAACGAAACACACCGCACCUAAAGAUCACCUGCCUGCCUUUCUCAAGUUAAAAAGUCCAAAAUGAAAGCAACAGCAGACCUGUUUAAAUGAGCCUUUCCCCCUCGUGGCCUCAAAUCAAAUAAAACACAACAGUUGGAGUCCAAACAAGUUAAAAGAACGUCCUUGUGGGUUUUAUCCACUAAAGCAAUAGUAACAAGAACCACCUUCUCAAAGGCUAAAAUGUCCCAGCGGUCCAACACUCAAUAAAGAUUUGGCUACUUAAGAAGGUCGAAACAGCGAGCCAUUUAAGGGCUUGACAUGGACCCAGCUAGCAUGCUGCUUUUACCAUCACUCAUACCGAGGUAAUGCAAUUCCUCACCAGUGUUCUGCG
ensembl:lncRNA